GAUGAACGCUGGCGGCGUGCCUAAUACAUGCAAGUCGAGCGAACGGGCGAGAAGCUUGCUUCUCUGAUGUUAGCGGCGGACGGGUGAGUAACACGUGGAUAACCUACCUAUAAGACUGGGAUAACUUCGGGAAGCCGGAGCUAAUACCGGAUGAUAUUUUGAACCGCAUGGUUCAAAAGUGAAAGACGGUCUUGCUGUCACUUAUAGAUGGAUCCGCGCUGCAUUAGCUAGUUGGUAAGGUAACGGCUUACCAAGGCAACGAUGCAUAGCCGACCUGAGAGGGUGAUCAGCCACACUGGAACUGAGACACGGUCCAGACUCCUACGGGAGGCAGCAGUAGGGAAUCUUCCGCAAUGGGCGAAAGCCUGACGGAGCAACGCCGCGUGAGUGAUGAAGGUCUUCGGAUCGUAAAGCUCUGUUAUUAGGGAAGAACAUAUGUGUAAGUAACUGUGCACAUCUUGACGGUACCUAAUCAGAAAGCCACGGCUAACUACGUG
rnacentral:rRNA from 1 species